CACGUAGGGUGCGAGCGUUGUCCGGAAUUAUUGGGCGUAAAGAGCUCGUAGGCGGUGUGUCGCGUCGGCCGUGAAAACCUGCAGCUUAACUGUGGGCUUGCGGUCGAUACGGGCAUCACUGGAGUUCGGCAGGGGAGACUGGAAUUCCUGGUGUAGCGGUGAAAUGCGCAGAUAUCAGGAAGAACACCGGUGGCGAAGGCGGGUCUCUGGGACGGUACUGACGCUGAGACGCGAAAGCGUGGGGAGCGAACAGG
rnacentral:rRNA from 1 species